rnacentral:rRNA from 1 species
GACGAACGCUGGCGGCGUGCCUAACACAUGCAAGUCAACUUGACUGAAGGAGCAAUCUGACAGUAGAGUGGCGCAAGGGUGCGUAACGCGUAAGUAACUUGCCCCAAGGUAAGGGAUAACGUCGAGAAAUCGGCGCUAAUACCUCAUAAUGCAGCGGAUCCGCAUGGAUAUGUUGUUAAAGGUUUACCGCCUUGGGAUAGGCUUGCGUCUGAUUAGCUAGUUGGUGUGGUAACGGCACACCAAGGCUACGAUCAGUAACUGGUCUGAGAGGAUGAUCAGUCACACUGGAACUGAGACACGGUCCAGACUCCUACGGGAGGCAGCAGUGAGGAAUAUUGGGCAAUGCUCGAAAGAGUGACCCAGCAACGCCGCGUGGAGGAUGAAGGUAUUCUAUAUCGUAAACUCCUGUGAGAGCAGACGAAAGACAGAUUAUUAAUCUGGAUGACUGUAUGCUCAGAGGAAG